AGAGCGCCAACGCCGACUAAGAGCGCCACCUCCUGUGGCAACGUCGGCAUGACUCAUAUCGUGUGAG
rnacentral:sRNA from 1 species